GCCUCUGUAGUAUAUCGGCUAGUACGCAACCCUGUCGCGGUUGAGGGCCGGGUUCGACUCCCGGCAGGGGCG
rnacentral:tRNA from 1 species